rnacentral:miRNA from 1 species
ACCCGUGGGGCUCAGUUCUUGA